AAAAAAAAAAAACACCAACUUAUUAGUACAUUAAAGAGUAUAAAUUUAGUUUAGCCCAAAAUGUGUUCUUUCCUAUAUUUACCCAGCCAUUGGGAUAAAAAUAACCCAAUUUGGAUAUAAACGGGGUAUAUAACCAGUUACUAUGUAUAGCUGGCAAUGUUUCAUAAAAUAAACACACCAACCAAACAAUGCAAUAAUUUAUUGAUAACAAAUAAUCAUUCAUACCCAAAACAAUGGAGUUCUUCAGCAACAUUUAGCAGAAUGGUUGCCAAUCAGCGCACAGAUGCAGCAAGACACGUUAACUUGGAGAAACGAUACGGAACUGUAAUGCAGUCAAGGCCUGACUGGAACUACUUCAGCUGUGCAUUUACUGAAAAAUAAUUGCACACCUCAGAACGUCUGUCAGCCAAUCAGAAUUGAGAACAGAGCUGCGGUAUAAACUUGGUUACAGUCCAGUCCAAAGUUUACAGGAACAUUUUAUCUGCAGAUUUACAGAGAAAUGCAUCCGAAUGAAUCAGGAGGAACUUCAUCGUGCAGCAAGACUACGAUCCAAAACACACUUCCACCUCAACACAGGACUUCAUCAGGGGGAAAGUGGAAGGUUUUAGACUGGACACGUCCAUCACCAGACCUUCACCCAACUGAUCAGCACCUCACCUCCUGAAGAGGAGACUGAAGGGAGAAACCCCCGAAACACACAACUACUGAAAGAAGCUGCAGGAAAAACCUGGAGAAGCUUCACAGAAGAAGAAACCAGCAGUUUUGAUGUUUCUAUACUUUUGCUUGCCUAAAAUUUGAAUGGUCUGAUACAAAAGCUUCUAUGUCUUAUGUUGUUUAAUACGUCUAGAUGUAAAUAGAUGUAAAUAAAAGCUGAAAUCCUAAACUCUCAAAAAAAAAGAACAAAAAAAAAGCUGUGAUCUAUCUGUUAUAAUUAAGAUCUAGGCACUCCAAAUGCAAACUUUAUUAGUACAUAACAUCUUACCUUUUAACUACGUACAUUUUUAAGUAGAAUAAAAUGUUCAUUUUGCACGUUUGUACAACAAGGAACAAUUAAUGUAAAUAAAACAUGCACAGCACUGAACAAAUCUGUUCAGCUGUAUUAAAUACAUGAUUUAUUCAUGGUAAGAGCGAGCUCGACUAUUUAAUCAGUUCAAUGUGAACAGUUUGAAAAUAUUCUAAGUGCAUGGAAAGAUAAAGGAACUGAACUGUCAGGAAUACUGAUGUAUGUAUGUUCAAUAUGUCCGAGGCGGAUUUACUGUGUCAUUUUAAAAUAAAUAUGAAAGCUAACAAAAAGGAUAUUGUCAAACGGACUGUUUCUGGAGGCUGAACCCAAAAAACGUAAACGUGUCUUGUAAACCAAAAUAUUUCAAUCAAUAAAAUGAAAUGCUCUGGAGUUGUGGCAGUUUAUGAAUAGGAGUUUAACAUAACGGAAAUUGCAAAUUACUGAAAUGCACAGUAGGUACUGUGAUGUAUAUAUCCCCUGUGAUGCAUUUCUGCAUUAUGGACCUCACCUAAAUUUAGAUCCUUGUUACAGUCCUGCUUGGCAUCCAGUGUACACCUAUUCAAGUG